rfam:Triticum aestivum genome assembly, contig: Triticum_aestivum_CS42_TGACv1_scaffold_093532_2AL
AACAUACUCCUUCCGUCCGAAAAAACUUGUCCCUGAAAUGGAUGUAUCUAGCACCAAGUUAGUGCUAGAUACAUCCAUUUGAGGAACAAGCUUGGGACAAGUUUUUUCGGACGGAGUGCUAG